rnacentral:lncRNA from 1 species
UGUGAGCCGCUGUGCCCAGGCCAAUCCCAGAGAUUUUGAAGAUGAUUUCUCGAUACGAGUUUCACGAAGACUUGAAAAGAAUGUGUCCUCUGUUGUUGGAUGGAGUGUCCUUGAAAUGUUCAUUAGCCUUCUAGCUCCAUUCAGAAGAGCCUCCGAAGUAGAGACCAGAAAUCCUUCUAGUGGGCUGUGCUUUGAGCAGUACUGCUUGUUGACUGCUUUACUUGGAAGGAGAGAUCGACUGAGGGAAAGAAGUGGACAAGACUCUGCUCUCUUCAUGGAACCGAGUAUUCUAAGGACACAGCCAAGUCAGGAGACUACACCCCUAGUAUAAUAAGUCCUGUGGCUGUACUGAGAAGAGGUCCUGACUCAGAACUGGAGGACAUCAUGGAAGGCUUCCUGGAGGAAGUGCCAUCUAGGCUGAAACCUAAAGGAUGAGUAGAACUAACCAGAUGAAAAGCACUGGAUUUGACUCAUCCCUGCAUCCCCCGAGCACCUCGUGGGUGCCGUAAAGGCAGCUGGGUUGAUGAUGACUGAGUGAAGGAGCGCCUGAGUGGAUGAGCCACUGAGUGAAUGAACUGGAGUUCAUCUUCCACGUGGUCCUCAGCAUCCACUCUAGAAGCCAAAGCCAAGGACACAGCAACCCACCGAGUGCCUUGUCCUCACUCUCUCCAACUGGGGAGUGCCCCUGCGGUGUCAUCUCUCUUUACAGAAGAGAUGCCAUGAGCUACUUUCCUUUCCCCACCUCACCUAACUUCUCUGCUGUAGCCUAACAGUCCAGGACCUGGGGAUUCAGGUGAGACACAGAUUAAGUCCCCAUAACUGACAUUUUCUUCUGAGAAGAAAGCAUUCACAUUCAAGGACUUGAGCAGCUCUGAGCCCCAUGGCAGCUGAGAUGCCACAGUGCGUCAAGUACAGGCACAUGGCAUCUGGGAGGCAGAGCUACAUCCUCUGGGUUGGAUGAUUUCUGCCUUUCCCCAGGGGUUCACAGCUUGCAAUCAUUCUGUAACUGAGGAGUCUGGUGGAAAUGGGGGUAGCAAAGAGAUCAGAGCAGGCAAAUGGUCCUCUGGGGCUGGGAACACUCCCUCUUUCUACCUUCCAACUGCAGGCACAUGUACGUGUCUUUUCAGCCUGAGGGAUCUAAAGCCUUGGGACUUCUGGAUCUGCAAGUGGUCCCUGUUUUGGUAGCUAUUGACUGACGAGGGGCUCUUCGGUAAGUUCUGGGGUGGCAGUGGAGGUGAUGAUGGGAGGGUGUUACAGGGCUCCACAGGCUCUUACAGGGCUCGGGAGCUUAUUUAAGGGAACACCUUGAUUGUCCAUGUGUCGUGGGCCAGAGAAGAAAGGCAGCACUGUGGAUCUUCUGGGAGGAAAGGAGAGGCGUCGAUUUCUGACUCCAGUUUUCUAUGAUCAGCACAGACUCUGUCCCACCUCCUCCCUACAGAGCUUCUGGAUCCUGGAGGAUGGAGAAUAGGCUAAAUUGCACAGGCCAGCUCCAGUCCAUUGGCAGGGCUGCCUAGAACAUGGCUGUGAUGAUCCCAAAGCUCAAUAGCAGAGAACCCUGUGGGGUGCUAGGAGUGUCUGCCAGGGUGCCGCAGGGAAAGGGGAGCAUGUGUGUAGAUGUAGAAAGCAUCUCUGCCAUCCCCUCCCCUAAAGAAUAUAUAACAUGGCCAUGCAGAAAAACACUUGUGAAAGGAGCUGCUGCCCUCAGGACAGCGUGUCAUUGAAAUGGGGGCUGAGCAACCCGUCAGAAGAGUGGGGAGGAGGGACCAUCCUCCAGCCCCUUCCCAGCUCUCUUCUGGAGCCAUAAGCCACAACACUGUCUAUGAAAAAGCUGAGGCCUAGAGCAGAAGGAGUGCAAAAUCCCAGCUACUGCAGGCCUACGCCCAGUGGUUCUCAAAGUGUUGUCCUCAGUCUAGCAGCAUCAGUGUCACCUGAAAACUGGUUAGACAUCCAGGUUCUCAGUUGUUAUCCAGCUCUAGCAGAUGGGAAACGCUGGGGGCGGGACCAGCCAUCUGUGUUUAACAAGCCCCACAGGUGACUGCUGUAGCCUUGAGUGAGGACCUCGGCCAAAAAGAAGGCUCCUACCGUGGCUGUUUGCUGAUGGUCUUCGCAGAGCCUGCUGUCUUUGAGCUUCCUGAGAGAGGGACACUACCCUCGCUUAGCCUGGCAGUGUUGCCCAGGAGGAGGCAGUGGAGUUAAGAAGCCUGGGUCUGAGCUCCUCAGCUGUGCAGACAACUCCUACUUGUUCUUCAACGCUCAACUUUAAGUUCAGUCACCACCUGCAGAAGUCUUCUCCAAAACCUCCCCACCUGGCUGACUAAGGGGCUGGCUUUAUGCUCUUGCAGUACUCAUGCUUCCUACUGUCACAGUUCUGACCACACCGUGGGAAAACGUCUCUAACUAGAGACCUGUCUUGCCUCUUGUGCCUGUAGUACGGGAUGGGUGCCCAGUGUGUGUUGAUUGUAUGAAUCAAUCUCUGUGACUCCAGAGUUCCUUUCUUCAGGAGAUUAGACAUCACCCCUGCAAUCAACAAUGCAAGCCACUGCUGUUUCCUCCAUCCUGAGCAUGAGGAACCUAUCCAGUUUCUCUCUCAGAUGCCAGGGCCAUGAGGCAAGUCCAGCCUUGGCCUAGAACCAAAGAUGGAAACAAAAAGGGGCCAGACUGUGUUGCCUUCUUGAGCCUGGUCUGACUCCUGAGUGGAAGUCUGAUUCCAGGUACAUGAGAUAAGCACUAAUACCUCCAGUUUGCAGAUUAAGAGACUGAGGUCCUGAAGAGGUUAAAGAACUUGGCUCAAGUCACAUAGCUGGUGAGCAGCAAGAUACAAGAAUCAACCCAAGUCCAGGGGGCUGUGUGCCGUUUACACUUCACAUCUGUGCUGCCAGGGCUGUAGCUAUAAAAGCUUGAAAACCAUUACUCUGAGAAUCUCUCUGUUGGGAAAAUGAGUCCCUUCAACUCUAGUUGUUGCCACUGGGAUGCUAACAGAAAGCAAAGUCUCAGAGGAAAGAUGUGGCAUUCCUGAGUGUCUUCCAUGUACCAGGACUUCUAUUUGCUAGCCACUUUAUGUUCCUCAUCCCAUCCUUCUGUGAGGGACAUACUUUUCAGAUGAGAAACGUAAGCUCCGCGAAGCUAAGGGGCCGGACUGAGGUCCCACAGCGAGAGUGUGGAGGAGCCAGGAUCCGAACCCCAUCGCCAGCCCUUGCCAGUUCCAUGAUUCCGGUGCCAGCGCUCGCCUGACCUCCAGGGCUGUCAUGGUGGGAAGGGACUGGAGGGCAUCUGCUGGGCAAAGGAAAGAGACAAACAUCAUCCCAGAGCCUGUCUUCCCUGGGCAAUACCCGGGCCACUCCAGACAUGGCGUCUUUAGCCCUUCCUUGGUCACUGGCCCCCAGGUGAAGAGAGCAUUUUUCUCUGACUCAAGUUCUUGCCUCUGGAUUUGCCAAGCUCCUAUGACAGUCUUCGCCCUUCUGAAGCUCUCUCAGGCUCCCCUUCCAGAAAUCCCGCAGGUUCCACCGACCUCUCUGAGAGCACAGGCGAGUGGUUGAACGGUGGGCUUUAGAGACGGCGCGGCACCAGAGUCCUGUACUGGCUGUGUGAUCCUGAACCUCCUCACUGAGAUUCUCAUCUGCAAGAUGGAGA